rnacentral:sRNA from 1 species
GCUGCGGCUGCGUGGCGGGUUGUCCAGGUAACCACGAGAGUUGUCGCUGUCUGGGAGCAUCUGAGAGACAGGUGUGCGUCAUGCAGUUGAAGCACCUGAGGACCCUGCUGAGCCCUCAGGAUGGAGCUGCAAAGGUGACCUGCAUGGCUUGGUCCCAGAACAAUGCCAAAUUUGCUGUCUGCACAGUGGACCGAGUGGUCUUGCUGUAUGAUGAACAUGGAGAACGGAGAGAUAAAUUCUCCACCAAACCAGCUGACAUGAAGUAUGGCAGGAAGAGCUAUAUGGUGAAGGGCAUGGCUUUUUCUCCUGAUUCCACUAAAAUUGCCAUAGGACAGACUGACAACAUCAUCUAUGUCUACAAGAUUGGAGAAGAUUGGGGUGACAAGAAAGUCAUCUGCAACAAGUUCAUCCAGACGAGUGCUGUCACUUGUCUGCAAUGGCCUGCAGAGUACAUCAUUGUCUUUGGACUGGCUGAAGGGAAGGUUCGUUUAGCAAACACCAAAACUAAUAAAUCAUCUACCAUCUAUGGGACAGAGUCUUACGUGGUGUCCCUGACAACAAAUUGCUCUGGGAAAGGAAUUCUCUCUGGUCAUGCAGAUGGUACCAUCGUUAGGUAUUUCUUUGAUGAUGAAGGCUCUGGAGAGUCACAGCCGUGACCCUCAGGAGCGGGAGUUCACCACAGCUGUAGCAAGUCCUGGGGGCCAGUCUGUUGUGCUAGGAAGUUAUGACAGGCUUCGGGUGUUCAACUGGAUCCCUCAAAGAAGCAUCUGGGAAGAGGCAAAGCCCAAGGAGAUUACCAAUUUAUACACCAUCACUGCCUUGGCCUGGAAGCGGGAUGGCUCACGGCUGUGUGUGGGCACACUAUGUGGUGGGGUGGAACAGUUUGACUGCUGCCUCCGAAGGAGUAUUUACAAGAACAAGUUUGAGUUGACGUAUGUGGGACCUAGCCAGGUGAUUGUGAAGAACCUGUCAUCAGGAACCCGAGUGGUGCUCAAGUCACACUAUGGCUAUGAGGUGGAAGAGGUGAAAAUCCUAGGAAAGGAACGUUACUUGGUGGCCCACACAUCAGAAACACUGCUGCUGGGGGACCUGAACACUAAUCGGCUUAGUGAGAUAGCCUGGCAAGGAUCUGGUGGCAAUGAGAAGUAUUUCUUUGAAAAUGAGAAUGUAUGCAUGAUCUUCAAUGCUGGAGAGCUAACCCUGGUGGAAUAUGGGAAUAAUGACACCCUGGGUUCUGUACGCACUGAAUUCAUGAAUCCCCACCUCAUCAGGUAACCUCACAAGAUUCUCUAAAUCCCUGAAACCCAAAAUAAUUCCUUUUGGACUCCUAAAUUCUGUGUCCUCCAGUUAAUCCAAAAGCUUCAGCCAGGCGUGGUGGCUCAUGCCUAUAAGCCCAGCAGUUUGGGAGGCGGAGGCAAGCAGAUUACUUGAGUCCAGGAGUUCAAGACCAACCUGGGCAACAUGGUGAAACCCCCUGUCUACUAAAAAUACAAAAAAUUAUCCAGGCAUGGUAGCAUACCCCUGUAUUCCCAGUAACUCAGGAAGCUGAGGUGGGAGAAUCACCCGGAGCCUGGGAAGUCAAAGCUGUAGUGAGCCGUGAUCACACCACUGCACUUCAGCUUUGGCAACCAGAGUGAAACCCUGUCUCAAAAUAAAUAAAUAAAUAAAAGCUUCAUCCCAUAUGGUACUUCAGAGCCUUUAAUAAACAUCCCAACUACCUUAGCCCAUUUUGCCUUACCUCACCCUUCAUGUUUCAGUGUUCGUAUUAAUGAGAGGUGUCAGCGAGGAACAGAAGAUAAUAAGAAAUUGGCUUAUCUUAUUGAUAUUAAGACUAUUGCUAUAGUGGAUCUGAUUGGUGGCUAC